UACGUAGGGGGCAAGCGUUGUCCGGAAUUACUGGGCGUAAAGCGCGUGUAGGCGGGCCGGCAAGUCUGGCGUGAAAGGCUCGGGCUCAACCCGAGAUGGCCGCUGGAAACUGCCGUUCUUGAGGGUCGAAGAGGAGAGUGGAAUUCCUGGUGUAGCGGUGAAAUGCGUAGAGAUCAGGAGGAACACCCAUGGCGAAGGCAGCUCUCUGGUCGACCUCUGACGCUGAGACGCGAAAGCGUGGGGAGCAAACAGG
rnacentral:rRNA from 1 species